CGGCCGUAACUAUAACGGUCCUAAGGUAGCGAAAUUCCUUGUCGGGUAAGUUCCGACCUGCACGAAUCGUGUAACGACCGAGCGACUGUCUCGGAGAGGCACUCGGCGAAACUGUAAUGGCGGUGAAGAUGCCGCCUGCCCGCAGUAGGACGGAAAGACCCUAUGCACCUUUACUGUAAGCUGGUAUUGGGUUCUGGUUAUGGAUGCGUAGCGUAGGUGGGAGACGUUGAUGCAGUGGCUUCGGUUGCUGCGGAGUCGCAAUGUGAAACACCACUCUUCCCUAAUUAGAAUCCUAACCCCGAUUCCUGUGAAGCCAGGCGGGGGACAGUGCCUGCGGGUCAGUUUGACUGGGGCGGUUUCCUCCCAAAAGGUAACGGAGGAGCGCGAAGCUCGGCUCAGCACGGUUGGCAACCGUGUGUCGAGGGUAUGGCUACAAGCCGGGUUGACUGCGAGACCUACAAGUCAAGCAGGUGCGAAAGCAGGCCCAAGUGAUCCGAUGGUGGAAUGUGGAAUUGCCAUCGCUCAACGGACAAAAGGUACGCUAGGGAUAACAGGCUGAUCGCUGCCAAGAGUUCAUAUCGACGUAGCGGUUUGGCACCUCGAUGUCGGCUCAUCGCAUCCUGGGGCUGAAGAAGGUCCCAAGGGUCCGGCUGUUCGCCGGUUAAAGCGGUACGCGAGCUGGGUUCAGAACGUCGUGAGACAGUUCGGUCCUUAUCCACUGUGGGCGCAGGAGACCUGAGGGGUUCCUUCCUUAGUACGAGAGGACCAGGAAGGACGCACUUCUGGUGUGGCAGUUGUCCCGUCAGGGGCAGCGCUGCGUAGCCAUGUGCGGACGAGAUAAGCGCUGAAAGCAUCUAAGCGCCAAGCUCUUCCCAAGAUGAGGUCUCCCAUCCGCGCGAGCGGACUGAAGACCCCAGGUAGACUACCUGGUUGAUAGGCCGGGCGUGUAAGCGUGGCAACACGUUGAGCGGACCGGUACUAAUAGGUCGUGAGGCUUGAUCUCCUUU
rnacentral:rRNA from 1 species